CAGAUUCUUUAUAGGUAGGCGUUGCAGUGCCGCUUGCGCGGAGCAAAAUUGAUCAACAAAAGAUUCGAGCGGUUGAUUUUGUUUGCAAUUUAAAAUUGUAUCUAUGUAUUGAGUAGCUUGCACUCUAGUAUCUUGAUAUUUCUCUAAUAAUGCGUUCCAUAUGAUAAGAUAAUUCUCAGAGGUGGGUGGUAUACCAGAACAAACCAAAAGCGCCUUAUCAGUCAAGCAACUAACUAAGUAUUGGACUUUCUGUACGUCAGUGAGUCUAUUGUUGUUAUGUAUUAAGUUUAAAAAGUUUUCGUAAAAGACAGUCCAUUUUGACGGACAGCCAUCAAAUGUUUUUAAAUUCAGUGGAGGUAAUUUUUUAUUUAACAAACUGUAUUGGUUGUCAAACUGUGACACAGCGGAUUCACUUUUAAUUUCAUUUAGAGUAUAUUGAAUUUGACAGUAUAAUGUGUCAAAUGCGCCUAGCGGGGCAUAGUUCGGCGUAUAAACAGGGUCAUGUUUCAAAUAGGCUGAAAUUAAAUCGUCUAUAACUAUCGCGAAAUCUUGACGUAAUUUUUCUAAACUUUGAACGCGAGACAAGAAAUUCGUUUUGUUCACAGGAUCACUCACCUUCAGACUUAAAUCAUAUAUUUGUUGAAUUGAUAAAAACAAGAAUUCUUUCUUAGCCUCUAAUCUAACAAUAGUUUCGUUAGAUUUCGACAUUCUGAUUUCUGAUAUGCGAUAAUAAACGUUAUUUCAAGCGAAUAAGACUCAAUACAGGCGAAUAAUUAUUUCGAUAUAAUUUUUAUAAUGAGUUUGUUGUAGGUAGAUAUAAAAAGUUUUAAUCUUUAAAUAUUGAAAAAUAUACAUAAAUAAUUAUAUAUAAUGCGUUAAUAUAAUGUAAUGCGUGGAUCUAAACAUAAAUAUGCGUAAUUAUAUAAGAUUUUUGUAUAUUUUUGUUAGCGGCGGUACCUAUGUUCCGAACGUAAUUCUAUUGCAAUGAAUAUUGAAAUAUACAAUAAAUAGCGUGUUUAGUGUUGAAUUAUAUAUGAAUACGAUUCUAGGAAGAGAAAUUGGAUACGGUGCGAUAGGACCAGAGAAAUUGUAGGAUAAAUACCUGGAUUUAGGCAG